GAUGAAGAACGUAGCGAAAUGCGAUAAGUAAUGUGAAUUGCAGAAUUCAGUGAAUCAUCGAAUCUUUGAACGCACAUUGCGCCCGCCAGUAUUCUGGCGGGCAUGCCUGUUCGAGCGUCAUUACAACCCUCGAGCCCCCCCGGGGGCCUCGGUGUUGGGGGACGGCACACCAGCCGCCCCCGAAAUGCAGUGGCGACCCCGCCGCAGCCUCCCCUGCGUAGUAGCACACACCUCGCACCGGAGCGCGGAGGCGGUCACGCCGUAAAACGCCCAACUUUCUUAGAGUUGACCUCGGAUCAGGUAGGAAUACCCGCUGAACUUAAGCAUAUCAAUAAGCGGAGGA
rnacentral:misc_RNA from 1 species